rnacentral:rRNA from 1 species
AACUCGCCUGCAUGAAGCCGGAAUCGCUAGUAAUCGCGGAUCAGCACGCCGCGGUGAAUACGUUCCCGGGCCUUGUACACACCGCCCGUCACACCACGAGAGUUUGUAACACCCGAAGUCGGUGAGGCAACCUUUUUGGAGCCAGCCGCCUAAGGUGGGAUAGAUGAUUGGGGUGAAGUCGUAACAAGGUAGCCGUAUCGGAAGGUGCGGCUGGAUCACCUCCUUUCUAAGGAA